GUGGGGGGAGGAAAAUGACAGCUGGUGAGUCGGCGAGCUGGCGAGUUUGUUAAUGCAAUUUUCCCCUCCAUCGGUUGCUAUCGUCUCCAUAGUGCCAUAAUAUUUAUUAUUACGUGUUGAAAAUUCAAAAGGAACAUUUUCUGCAGAUACCAGCAACAACUUCAGAAUACAGGAUGCUGGUAUUCCACCACGCGAGAAACUAAUUGGAAAUAAAACAUUCCUAAUGUGAGGAUGACACAGGCGAUUGCGUAGCGCAGCUCAAGAUUCGUUCGGCUCGAAAAGGACCGUUUCAAUUACGGAGGAUAUUAUCGCGUCUCCAGUUGAAAUCCAGAACUAUCGACACGCGAAAACCGAUUUUUCCCUAAAUUUAUACGUCGAACCUAACGUCGGGCAUAGUGCGCUGAACAGCGGAUCUGGUGUGUUACACAGCGCACCUUGUCCGACGUAGCUCCGACGCAUGGAUUUGGAUAAUAUCCGUUUUCGCGUGUCGAAAUUUCCGGUUUUCAACUGUGUGAAUAAUAUGUACUAGAUAAAACUAAUUAAAUUUAUCAAUUCCAGAUGCUUCUUCACAACGUGCGUUUUGAAGAUGGGAAUUUGAGCAAACCAAUCAUUUGCUAUUAUGGAGAAAUGUGAUAUUCCCGUGAAAUUCCAGUGGUAUUUAUGAAUUGUGUUGAAAGUGUACGAAUAAAAACUCUCUGUUAGAAAAG